AAGGAGACAGAGUGUGAGUUAGACACACAUGGCUUAAUCUGUGCCAGAGCAACCUAGAGCGCGCUGGGACUUCACAGAUUGGGACCGGCAUCUGUUUCAUUUGCUCCAACACCUGUAAAUAAAUGUUCUGAGAACCUGUAAACACAUUCUUUUGUAAUAUUCAGAGAGAGAGA